GGAGGUGGGGGGGGAGGGAAAUCCCUGUGGCCGGUCGAGCUUUCUGAAAUAUUAACAUUUUCAGGAGGCACGGAGUAUGGGCUAAUCUAUGCGCCGUACGUGCAGCAAUCUUUGUUUUUCCCCCCCCUUUUUAAAAACAAUUCUCCCCCUCACCAAGUUAUAACUUUAUUUAUGAGGGCAGUUGUGGUGGGCUGCUGGCUGCAAUUUUCACAAAGUGAUUGAAGUCUUUUCUCGUUUGGGGUAGGGAGCAUCAAUUUCACCACAACAUGGAAACUCCACGUGUUCGCCAGAACUCUGCAAAAUGCAUUCUGGUGAAGUGUGGGAUUACGUCUGAACAUCACCCAGUUCCAAAAAGAAAACUAUCCUCACCGGAAAGGAGAUUGCUGAAGGACAAAGUUUAAAGGAGAAACAUAGAGGAGCCGUUGCUCGGAUUUGAACGGGAAAAAAAACAAGAUGCUUUUUUCCCCUUGUUUUCUAAACGUGCAAAUAGACGGAAGGCUGCUGGAAGAUGGUGGCCCAAGACUGGGAGGAUUCUGCAAAAGCUGGAGGUGAAGGAAGGAGUGGGUUGAAGAAUCGUGAAAAUAAAUCGGACGUGCUGUGAAUUGAAUGUUGAUUUAAAACAAAAAGUAACCACUCGAGGUGAAAAUGUGACUGUGGUGAAAUGCGGUUAAAAUCCGGCAAAAAAGUGAGAAAAUGGAAGGAAGCCCAGACCUGACCACGGGAAUGAAAUGCGGGCAAAGGCUACAUAGAAGAUGGAGAACUUCUCUAACUGCCCUUAAACACGUACAAACCGCUAUUAAAUCCGGAGGUUGUUCACUGUUAGUUACACCGCGUUCACACGGUUUAAAACAAGAAUGGAGACUGUCUUGAAAAGCGGUGGCAAAUGCCCGAUAACAUUAAGAAGAAAACAAUGAAAAAGGUAAAUGCCAACGACAUACAUUGAAGCGUGACUCCAGUUGUAUUUUAUGAAACGUGUGCCUCUCAAUAUCUGCUGUAUUACAUGUCGGGGUAUCGCAACGCUUUGCAGAAGUCGCUGAGAGUAGGCUGCUCAUUCAAAUGUAACCUGAGCGAAAUUCGAUUAAAGACUCAACUUGUUCCUCAUACAGCCUAUCGGGAAAGCGUCUCCUAGAAUUGGUGAAGACAUAAUGCUAGUGCACCAGACCUGGUUUACCCAUGUUACACCCAUCUUAAUUUUAACGAUGGCAAAUUAUAAAGAUCACUGCGAACAAGUGAUGUAUUGAACCAAGGGCUUGAGUAAAUACGUUAGAGCAAUGGGGUGCCGCCUUUAAAUGAAGAGCCAGUUUUCUUGCAUAUAUUUACAUUGAAGACAGUAUUACUGGUGAAAAGAAAAUGAAUAAUCCGUCUAACAUGCCAGAGGUAUUUUGAUAUUCGACUGAACACCGGGGUUAUACAAGUGCUGGUCAAUACAACGGUGGCUGCGUAGUCCCUGCGCAGUUUCCCGCCGGGUGGAACGUGAUUAUUAAAGUAAUAUAUAAUGUGAUAUAAACUUUCGUUGAGGAAACAGUUGGAUGAAGUUGACUUUCAGAUCUUAUACGCUAUUACGUCCAGAUUGAUUGCUAUACAGUUCGCGAAAAGGGGCUGACACAACUUUAAAAAAAAGGGUGGUUUACUUCGUCAACAUUUGUGCAAGUAAAAAAAUCAUGACAACAACACAGACACACAGAGCGUGGAAGAGAAAAUAGAAAACAGAUGGUGAAUAGCGGAGCUGUGGAUGGGAUGAGUUGAUAAAUGAGUCCUAAUUUUAAGUGCUGGCCUCGAUCGAAUAACCAUAAGGAAAGCUACAAUACAGAAAGGUAACACCGUUUUAAUAAUGGAAAAUUGCACAUCCACAGCAAAUAACCAGAAUUAUAUCCAAUCUGACCUGUAAUGAACUUGUAGCAGGAAUGUAAUAUUUAACAGCGUGAAUCCUUUUAGAAACACAGGUUUAAAAUAAAGGCUUUACAAAGCCAAUAUCCCACUAA